UUUUAGUCAGCCAAUUCGGAUCAAGAGAGUCAUUCCGACGAGCCUUCGCCACCCAGUCCGCGGCUUGAUUUCCAUUUCGGGAACAAUGGACUAUGGAGGCGUCACUUAGUCGGGCCAGAAUCUAUUGGCAAUCCAUCACAAAUAGACCGAGUGGGCCAGGGACUUUCGGCCCAGCCCAGAACAUAAGAAACUGAGCACAGGUCAGAGCUGAUGACCACCCCGCAGAUCAGACUGAACUGAGCACAGGUCAGUUUCUUGCUUCCUCUUCUCUCCCAUGUCUUCUCCGUGCACGACAGUCCCUCUCUCACCGCAAGGGUUUCCGCUAACAGUGCCGAAGAGGCGUGUAUUUUCUUGGCAAAUCCAUCGAUGAGGAUCCCAUGGGAGUCUCUACAAACCCCCCGGCGAUCGCUCCCUCCCGCGACUCACCGCACCAGGAGGCAUCGACAUUCAUCAACCAAGAACCCUCAGGUGGCGGGAUCCAGUGGUCGGAAGGUUAGGCAUCCUGUCCUUUAUGCUUCUUCUUGCUGUGAUUCCAUUUUUCGAAGAGCUUCUGUGAAUUAAACGCUUCCUCGACUAACUGGCUGGGUCUCGGCUUCCUGUUCCUGAAAACCCACGCGUUCCUUUCCUUCCAAAUCAACCAUAUUACACCGGCGAGUAUUGCCGUGGAGGAUGGGUCGGCUCGGGAAGGUAAGUUUUCCAAUAUCGACUUGUCAAUCCUGGUUAUCUUUUCCGGUGAGGUGUCGAGGUUCAACCGAGAAUCUGACCAGAUUUUUUUUGUCUUGUCACAAAGGAGGAGGAGGUGCUCAGGAGAUUCUGGGGGCUUUACGGCACACCGGGCAAAGAGGGUCAGGACUAGGGCACAGCACUAGGACAACCACAACAGAAUCAAGCCAAGAAAACCAGACCGUGACUUACUAGCAAUAUAUGCACAAGUCAGACUAUCAGAGCACCACCAGGUUGUGAAGAGCAGUAAGCAGCGUCCCUCUCCUCUGUGACUGGAUGGUAUUAAGAACUGAAGGAAGGCGUUUAGAAUAGGAUAAGUGGCUAUGGGCGUAACACUCCAAAACUGGAAGAAGGAAGGUAGUGGGGAUCUGAACCGAGACAAGGUCAAAGGGCGAAACCUAGUGAGGAGGAUGAAUUCCAGGGGGGAGAAGGUAAAUGAGAAUGUAAGGAAUUGGUGUAAACUUCAUGACUGGAAGGGAGUUGAAGGUAAAUAGGGCUAUCUAGGGUUAACUAUCACCAUGGAUAGAGAAAGCUCUUACUAGAAGAGAGAGAAGCUCUUACAAGAAGAGAGAAGCUCAAUAUAGAGCAAAAUCAAUAACCCCAUGUGGUUGUUGAGUAGUUGAGAAAUGGAAAUGGGUGCCUAUACUAGAGACAAGACACAACUUCGAUUCCCUUUACCAUCAAGUGUAAACGAUCUCAUAUUUUGGUCACUUUAUUCGGAUUUUGGUUUGCAUCUUCAAAUAUUCAUGGUGAGCAAAAUCUAUCUACCGAAAGAUGUAGAUUUUCUCAUCAUGAAAUAAAGGGUUAACUACAGAUUUAAUCCUUUGAAUUUCAA